rnacentral:misc_RNA from 1 species
UUUCUGACGGUUUUCGGCAAGCUGGUGGAUGGCCGUGAGUCGUUGCUUCUCCCUCAAUAUAUACAUGCGUAUAUAUAUAUAUAUAUAUUCAUGCCUACGCUUGCUUCUCUCUCUGAGUGUGUGUGUGCGUGUGUGUGUUUGGCACGCGCCCUGUUACAGUAGCGCAUGUGGGCGAACGCGAACUUGCUUUUUCUCCCCUUUUGCGCUGAAUCGAGCAACACAAAAGUGAAAGCAAACGCCGCGUAGGAGGCGGAAACUAAAAGCCUCGGGGGACGGAAGGGGUGAGGGAAAAUGGUAAGCAGCACCUUCGCACGCAUGCAUUCGUGGCUUUUUUCUUUCGUUUUCUUACUUUUGUUCCCUGAAGGGGCUUCAUCGGGUCGAAGUUGUGGAUGUGCUAACCACUUCCUCCCCCUUCCCUCAUAUUGCUUGCCUCUCUGCUCUUCGUUGGAGUACAUACGCGCGUCUUUCUUUCUCCCUCCUCCACUGCCAUCUUUACGAUUUUGCAGUGUCUAUCGGUAGGUGAGGUGCUACCCCCGCUUUUCCCUCUCUUAUCUCUCCGUGCCAGUUUCUGGUGUUCUACAGUCGCCCAACCUUCGUCAUGCGUGCUACCUCCUCCUCGCUGUCAUUACAUGUGAGUUUGUGGUGCGCUUUCGUCAUCUUUUUCAAUGAUGCUCUUCCACACCCGUUCCGUCUUCUCGCUGCGCUUUUUUUUUCUGCUGCUGACUUCUGCGUGUUUUCUCUCACCGCCCUCCCGUGAUGUCAUUCUACUACUUUUGGCUGCCUUGCCACCACCACCUCUCUCUUGGGUUUAAUUCGCCUUUUUCACUCUUCUAAAGACGAAAAGCGCUAUCAUCUGUGCCCUCUUCCUUGCACCGGCACCUUUUUUGUGGUUGUUCUCUUUUCGUUCCGUGCUGUGAUUUCUCGCGUGCGUGCCGGGCUCUCCAUUUCUUCUGUUUUGGUGGACAUCAGUCCCUCUGCCCUUCUCCUCCUCUUCCUCUUGGAUGGGCAGGGCCAUCUGUCUCCUGAAUCUCUCAGAAAAUUUCCCCCACCAUUAUUCACUUUUGAGGAGAUCUUUCUCGCCUCGUUGCUGCUUGGAUGAUUUUCCCGCGUGCCGCUGCACCUCCCCUCUCCACACACUGCUGCAACUGAGUCGGCGACGAACGCUAUACGACCUCGAGUGGAAUCGUCGUAAUGUGCGAUCAUCGGUGCUGUACGCUUCUGCGUGUGUAUAUGGGCAGUAUUUCAUAGGUGUGUGUGCGCGCGUUUUGCGCACGGGCUUGUCUCUCUUCGUACUUUUGCCGACGUGCGCCACGAUCGUAAUCCUUACCAUUUUUCCGCUUGCCUCUGGCCUUGCGGCUCUUCGCAUGACGAGUGACAUGUGUGUGUGUGCGGGACAUACAGAAGAGAUUUGCGGGAAAGAAGGAAAACGGAGGCACACGGCCGGUUGCCGCACACACACCUCGCACCGCACUUGCGAGCUCGAUCGACUUUGCAAGUGUGCGAAGACAUGCUUGUGUGCCUGUGUGUGAUGAAGCGAUGCCGCUCUCUCUCUGUUGCCAGGAUACGUUGACGGUUAGCUCCUUUAUUGUUUUGCCAAGAGUCAUCGGCUCGUGUGUGUGUUCUUAGGUGUUCCUGUCUGGGCUUUAUGGCAGGGGAAGGCGAUGAAGCUGACGCGCUGCGGUUUCCCGAAAGUCCGCUGAAGU